rnacentral:lncRNA from 1 species
GCAAGCUUGCCCUGUGUCAGACUCUGAGAGCAUCAGCAGAGAUAUGCAAGCUUGCCCUGUGUCAGACUCUGAGAGCAUCAGCAGAGAUAUGCAAGCUUGCCCUGUGUCAGACUCUUUUAAAACAUCAGCAGAGAAUUGGUUUUGCCCUGUUCAAUUUUAGAGCAUCAGCAGAGAUAUGCAAGCUUGCCCUGUGUCAGACUCUGAGAGCAUCAGCAGAGAUAUGCAAGCUUGCCCUGUAUCAGACUCUGAGAGCAUCAGCAGAGAUGUGCAAGCUUGCCCUGUGUCAGACUCUUAGAGCAUCAGCAGAUAUCCCAAGCUUCCCUGU